CCAUCUUCGCUUCACCACCGCCACCACCUUCUUUCUUCUCACCGCCUUCUUUUUUCUCUCCACCGCCUUCCUUCUUCUCUCCGCCGCCUUCCUUCUUCUCGCCGCCGGCGGCAUCACCUUUUCCUUUGUCUUUGUUCUCACCUCCGGCGUCUUUUUUCUCACCUCCGGCGUCUUUCUUAGGGGCAACCAUGUCGACGCUUCGUUUCAACUUCUCCUUGAGAUAAGGAACGAGGUCUUUCACGUCCAUUGUGCCUUUUACGGUUACUAAAUCUUUUGCUCCAUCCACGUCCACUGAUU
rnacentral:lncRNA from 1 species